rnacentral:rRNA from 1 species
CCUACGGGUGGCAGCAGUGGGGGAUAUUGGACAAUGGGGGGAACCCUGAUCCAGCGACGCCGCGUGAGUGAAGAAGUAUUUCGGUAUGUAAAGCUCUGUCAGCAGGGAAGAAAGAAAUGACGGUACCUGACCAAGAAGCCCCGGCUAACUACGUGCCAGCAGCCGCGGUAAUACGUAGGGGGCAAGCGUUAUCCGGAAUUACUGGGUGUAAAGGGAGCGUAGACGGUUAAGUAAGUCUGGAGUUAAAGCCCGGGGCUCAACUCCGGUUCGGCAUUGGAUACUAUCUAGCUAGAAUGUGGUAGAGGUAAAGGGAAUUCCUGGUGUAGCGGUGAAAUGCGUAGAUAUCAGGAGGAACAUCGGUGGCGAAAGCGCUUUACUGGACCAUUAUUGACGCUGAGGAACGAAAGCCAGGGGAGCAAAUGGGAUUAGAUACCCUGGUAGUC